GAGUUUGAUCCUGGCUCAGAACGAACGCUGGCGGCGUGCUUAACACAUGCAAGUCGAACGUGAUUGAGAGCUUGCUCUCAUGAAAGUGGCGCACGGGUGAGUAACACGUGGAUAAUCUGCCUGGCGAUUCGGGAUAACACUUCGAAAGGGGUGCUAAUACCGGAUAAGCCCACGGACUCUUAGGGGUUUGCGGGAAAAGGGGGCCUCUGUAUAUGCUCCUGUCGCUAGAUGAGUCCGCGGCCCAUUAGCUAGUUGGUAGGGUAAUGSCCUACCAAGKCGWCGAUGGGUAGCUGGUYUGAGAGGAUGAUCAGCCACACKGGAACUGAGACACGGUCCAGACUCCUACGGGAGGCAGCAGUGGGGAWUUUUGCGCAAUGGGCGAAAGCCUGACGCAGCAACGCCGCGUGAGUGAUGAAGGCCUUCGGGUCGUAAAGCUCUGUCAGUGGGGAAGAACCGCCGGGUGGCUAAUACCUGCCUGGUCUGACGGUACCCACAAAGGAAGCACCGGCUAACUCCGUGCCAGCAGCCGCGGUAAUAC
rnacentral:rRNA from 1 species